AUGAUCAACACACUCACUCUUCUGCUGGUUGCUCUCUCUCUGCCCUGUUGUACAGGUCAGAGCAUGGAGUCCAUUCCUUCCAGUUCAGUCGUGAAAAAGCCCGGGGAGACUCUCAGUCUCUCCUGCAGGGGAUCUGGCUUCACAUUUAGCUGCUGCAGCAUGCACUGGAUCAGACAACCUGCAGGAAAAGCUCUGGAGUGGAUCGGCCGUGUUUACAGCGAUGCAAGUAAAACAGAUUAUGCCAGCAGCAUGCAAGGACGAAUAGAAGUCACCAGAGAUAAUAGCAACAGCAUGACCAACGCAGUGACUCUAAACAGACAGAAUGUGUAG